rnacentral:rRNA from 1 species
UGGGGAAUUUUGGACAAUGGGCGAAAGCCUGAUCCAGCAAUGCCGCGUGUGUGAAGAAGGCCUUCGGGUUGUAAAGCACUUUUGUCCGGAAAGAAAUCCUUGGCUCUAAUACAGUCGGGGGAUGACGGUACCGGAAGAAUAAGCACCGGCUAACUACGUGCCAGCAGCCGCGGUAAUACGUAGGGUGCAAGCGUUAAUCGGAAUUACUGGGCGUAAAGCGUGCGCAGGCGGUUUGCUAAGACCGAUGUGAAAUCCCCGGGCUCAACCUGGGAACUGCAUUGGUGACUGGCAGGCUAGAGUAUGGCAGAGGGGGGUAGAAUUCCACGUGUAGCAGUGAAAUGCGUAGAGAUGUGGAGGAAUACCGAUGGCGAAGGCAGCCCCCUGGGCCAAUACUGACGCUCAUGCACGAAAGCGUGGGGAGCAAACAGGAUUAGAUACCCUGGUAGUCCACGCCCUAAACGAUGUCAACUAGUUGUUGGGGAUUCAUUUCCUUAGUAACGUAGCUAACGCGUGAAGUUGACCGCCUGGGGGAGUACGGGUCGCAAGAUUAAAACUUCAAAUGAAUUGAC